GACGAACGCUGGCGGCGUGCUUAAUACAUGCAAGUCGAACGAAGUGGCGAACGGGUGAGUAACGCGUAAUCAACCUGCCCUUCAGAGGGGGACAACAGUUGGAAACGACUGCUAAUACCGCAUACUGAAGGAGGGGAUUGCGUCUGAUUAGCUAGUUGGAGGGGUAACGGCCCACAAAGGCGAUGAUCAGUAGCCGGUCUGAGAAGAUGAACGGCCACAUUGGGACUGGGACACAGCCCCGACUCCUACCGGGGGCAGCAAUGGGGGAUCUUCCGCAAUUGACGAAAAUCUGACGGGGCAACGCCGCGUGGGUGGUGACGGCCUUCGGGUUGUAAAGCUCUGUUUGUCGGGACGCGGUACCGAACUAGAAAGCCACGGCUAACUACGUGCCAGCAGCCGCGGUAAUAC
rnacentral:rRNA from 1 species